rnacentral:lncRNA from 1 species
GAACAUUUUGUUCAAUACCGUGUACCUACCGUAUCUUUCGGUAUUGAAAAAUUCUAUACCGUUACCGUACCAACAAUUGCGGUAUACCGUUAUUCGGUAUACCGUUAGUUUCGGUACGGUAUGAUCGGUACGUGGUAAUCUACCGUACGUCAUUUUGUUGAUGAACUCGGAUGAUACAAUAAUUAAGAUGAAUACUAAUUAAAUGCAUAAAUACAACAAAUUAAGCAAAUGAAUAUGGUAAUCAAACAAUUUACAUGAAUAUACA